rnacentral:rRNA from 1 species
CCUACGGGUGGCAGCAGUGAGGAAUAUUGGUCAAUGGACGAGAGUCUGAACCAGCCAAGUAGCGUGAAGGAUGACUGCCCUAUGGGUUGUAAACUUCUUUUAUAUGGGAAUAAAAUGUUCCACGUGUGGGAUUUUGUAUGUAUCAUAUGAAUAAGGAUCGGCUAACUCCGUGCCAGCAGCCGCGGUAAUACGGAGGAUCCGAGCGUUAUCCGGAUUUAUUGGGUUUAAAGGGAGCGUAGGUGGAGUGUUAAGUCAGUUGUGAAAUUUUGGGGCUCAACCGUAGAAUUGCAGUUGAAACUGGCAGUCUUGAGUACAGUAGAGGUGGGCGGAAUUCGUGGUGUAGCGGUGAAAUGCGUAGAUAUCACGAAGAACUCCGAUUGCGAAGGCAGCUCACUGGACUGCAACUGACACUGAGGCGCGAAAGCGUGGGUAUCAAACAGGAUUAGAUACCCGAGUAGUC